GGGAUCAACCUUUCAGUACCGCAGCUAACGCGUUAAGUGUGCCGCCUGGGGAGUACGAUCGCAAGGUUAAAACUCAAAGGAAUUGACGGGGCCCCGCACAAGCGGAGGAGCAUGUGGUUUAAUUCAAUGCAACGCGAACAACCUUACCUGGGCUUGACAUCCCCGGACGAGGGCAGAGAUGCCUUUUUGCCUCUUUGAGGAACCGGGUGACAGGUGCUGCCUGGCUGUCGUCAGCUCGUGUCGUGAGAUGUUGGGUUAAGUCCCGCAACGAGCGCAACCCCUAUUUCUAGUUGCUAACAAGUAAUGUUGAGGACUCUAGAGAGACUGCCAGUGUAAUAAACUGGAGGAAGGUGGGGACCACGUCAAGUCAUCAUGGUCCUUAUGUCCAGGGCUACACACGUGCUACAAUGGUCGAUACAGAGGGAGGCUAAGCCGCGAGGUGGAGCAAAUCCCACAAAGUCGGCCUCAGUUCGGAUUGGAGUCUGCAACUCGACUCCAUGAAGUUGGAAUCGCUAGUAAUCGCGCAUCAGCAUGGCGCGGUGUAUACGUUCCCGGGGCUUGUACACACCGCCCGUCAAGUCAGCCGAGUUGAGUGCACCCGAAGCAGGUGAGCGGACCGUAAGGAAGCAGCUUACGAAGGUGUGCUUGGCAAGGGGGACUAAGUCGUAACAAGGUAGCCGAAC
rnacentral:rRNA from 1 species